CUACGGGGUGCAGCAGUGAGGAAUAUUGCACAAUGGGGGAAACCCUGAUGCAGCAACGCCGCGUGGAGGAUGACGCAUUUCGGUGUGUAAACUCCUUUUAUAUGUCAAGAAAAUGACGGUAGCAUAUGAAUAAGCACCGGCUAACUCCGUGCCAGCAGCCGCGGUAAUACGGAGGGUGCAAGCGUUACUCGGAAUCACUGGGCGUAAAGGACGCGUAGGCGGGUUGGAAAGUCAGGUGUGAAAUCCUACAGCUUAACUGUAGAACUGCACUUGAAACUUCUAAUCUAGAGUAUGGGAGGGGGAGAUGGAAUUAGUGGUGUAGGGGUAAAAUCCGUAGAUAUCACUAGGAAUACCUAAAGCGAAGGCGAUCUCCUGGAGCAUUACUGACGCUAAGGCGUGAAAGCGUGGGGAGCAGACAGGAUUAGAUACCCCCGUAGUC
rnacentral:rRNA from 1 species